AAUUGUCAUGGUCCACACACACCUGAUGGGUCACGACAGGCAGUAAAAAAUGAAAGAAAAAAAAUAAACUUUCUGUGAAAUCUUCCAUGUGUACAAUAAAAUCGGAAUUCUUCAGAACAAUACAUAAUAGAGGGGCUCUGUACUUAGGGGUGUAUGUGAUGGAUAUUGUUUGGUUACGAUAUGUCAAAUAGCUGCUUACUAGCUCCCAUUCACACAGGAUUCCAAGAGAUUCUCAUUCCUCCUUGUAGCCACCGUGAAGGUUAAAUAUAGCUUUAUUUAUGAAAGGACCUUGACGAUGGUCCUGCAGUGAUAGCUAUGCCUGAGAUGAACAUUGAGCCAUCUGGAGACACAAAUUAUGAAGGAGCAGACAGAGGUUUGUGAGUAGCGUCUUGUCAUAGUUUGCAUAUUUUCACCAUACCCUAUACAUUCUUCUGGAGGAAAAGUAUAUUAUUCCCUGACAUGACUUGCUGCUUUUUCAAACAUCAACCCAUACUAAUCGUACCAGUUGUGCAUGUUUUUGGCAGAAUACAGCACUAUACACCUCUGUCUUCUAAGAAUUGUUUCUUGUUGGGCAGCUGUUUUGAACACUGAGGUCAGAGUAGAUUCUGUCCAAGAAAACAGCCUUUACACAUGGCUUUCUCAGCAAUGAUCAUUGUGUACGGUGUUUCUGUUAACAAACGAGUUUCCAGAUCUUUUCAUUACGCCUUUUACUUCUAGGGAUUUUGAAUCCUGCCAAAACAGAAAGAGAAGCUCAGAGGAAUCCAUGAGUUCAGAGUUUCAUUUGUUCGGAGAAAGGAAGCAACAUGUCAACAGCUGGGAAUGUUUUCUUCCACAUUAAGGGCUGGCUAUAAAAUAAUUGGAUAAAAUACUGGGUCAGUGAGUCCGAGUAACAUGUGGGACUGAGAGACACCAUACAUUGAAACAGUGUUCAAACAGCAGCCUUUAAAGGGUUGGUUUUUUUUACAGUCAGCAGCCUCACUAAAUGUUUUAUUAUAGUAAAUCAUGAACUGGGUAGGGUUUGCCCCAUGCCUAUGAUUCUCUAUGACAUACAACCAGUGGCGUACCUACCACGGUUGCACGGGCCACUUGAAUACCUUCUGGGUGGUGCACAGCACACCGGCCCAGGUCGGCAGUUCCCGGGGGUCUGGCAGGAGGAGCGGUUAGAGCACUUCUUAUCAGACCAGGAACCACGGCAGAGAAGCAGGCACAGGAGGGGGGAGAGAGGGAGGGUAUGGACACAUGGAAGGGAGGGGGAGAGAGGUAGGAAUGGGACACAUGGAGGGGAGGGGAUAGAGGGAGGGUAUGGGACACAUGGAAGGGAGGGGAGGAGGGAGAGAGGAUAUGGGACAUAUGGAAGUGAGAGGGAGAGAGGGAAGAAUGGGACAUAUGGAGGGGAGGGGAUAGAGGGAGGGUAUGGAACACAUGGAGGGGAGGAGGGAGAGAGGAUAUGGGAAAUAUGGAAGUGAGAGGGAGAGAGGGAAGAAUGGGACACAUGAAGGGGAGGGGGUAGAGAGGGAGAGUAUGAGACACAUGAGGGGGAGAGGGAGAGAGGGAGGGUAGGGCACACAUGGAGGGUAGGGGGUAGAGAGGGAGCAUAUGGGACACAUGAAAGGGAGGGGGAGAAAGGGAGGGUAUGGGAC
rnacentral:lncRNA from 1 species